UAAUUUUAAGCCAUUUGUCAUAGUUUUAACCUAUUACUUGCCACUUGGCAAUUGACUAAUCCAUUUUUGUUUCUAAUGACCGCCAAAACCAAGAAUCCUCACUUUUCUUUUAUUUUCCUUUUUCUUUCUCUAACCUAAUUAAUUCACCACCGUUUCACAAAGAAAUCUCUUCAUCUUCACUCCAAUCAUCUUCCCAAAAUACAUUUGGUUUCCUUACAUAAGAAUGAAAAUCGCUGGAUCUACAUAUAAUCAUUGGAUUCGAUUGUUCUGCUUCUUCAUCGACGCAUACUUUUUCUUUUAUCGGCGAUUCAUAGAAGAUUCUGAAAUCGAUAUACAAAUCCGUAUUUACUAUGGGUGAUAGUUCAUCAAGUUACAGAGCACCCUGGUUCUGUAGGGAAAUGAGUCGAGCAGACCAAGUUAUUAUGG